rnacentral:rRNA from 1 species
AACGAACGCUGGCGGCAUGCCUAACACAUGCAAGUCGAACGAGACCUUCGGGUCUAGUGGCGCACGGAUGCGUAACGCGAGGGAACCUUCCCUUAGGUUCGGAAUAACUCCCCGAAAGGGGUGCUAAUACCGGAUAAUGUCUUCGGACCAAAGAUUUAUCGCCUUUGGAUGUGCCCGCGUUGGAUUAGCUAGUUGGUAGGGUAAAAGCCUACCACGGCGACGAUCCAUAGCUGGUCUGAGAGGAUGAUCAGCCACACUGGUACUGAGACACGGCCCAGACUCCUACGGGAGGCAGCAGUGGGUGAUAUUGGACAAUGGGCGAAAGCCUGAUCCAGCAAUGCCGCGUGAGUGAUGAAGGCCUUAGGGUCGCAAAGCUCUUUUACACGGGAUGAUAAUGACAGUACCGGGAGAAUAAGCUCCGGCUAACUACGUG